CCCUGUGGCUCAGUUGGUAGAGCAUGGUGUGUGCAACGCCAGGGUCGUGGGUUCAAUUCCCACAGGGG
rnacentral:tRNA from 1 species